AUGACAAAUAUUUCAAUUCCUGGUAAUUGGCAGACAUGUGAUGUUGAAGCAAUGGAUGGUGACUUCGAUGAUAACAUGCUUCAAUUCUUGGGAUCUUUUGAAGAAGUUCUUCCGGAAGGUGUUGAGGUUGAGACUAAAAAAGGAAUGAAGAAAAAGAACAAACCGAAAAAGGUUGAAAACACUGAACGCCCAGAAGAAGAUGCGAAGUGUGUAGAGGAGCGACGUCUAGCCAAAAAAUUGAGAAGAAAAGAACAAAUGGCUGCAAAUCGUAAACAGAAGAAGGAACGGUUGGCAAAAAGAAAACAGAAAGAAGCUGAGAGUUCUGCUAAAAAAUCUGAAAAUGCGACAGAAACUACUACCGAAAAGCCGAAAGAGCAGAAGAAAAGAAAAGGAGGAGAGAAUGGAGAUACAGGAAAACCAAAGAAAUCCAAAAAAGAAGCAUCUAAGAAAACAGAUAUUUCAGCUUGGAAACAAUUUUAUUUUCUUCCUAAUGAAGUUCUUGAAGCUAUUGAGCAGAUGGGGUGAGCACAAUUUACCAUUAAUUUGUUUAGAUUUUCACAAUGUUAAUUUUUUUUUUCAGAUUUUCUGAGCCGACUGAAAUUCAAUCAGCAGUGCUCCCCGCUGCUGUUCGUGAUCGACAAGAUGUUCUAGGUGCUGCUGAAACUGGAAGUGGAAAGACAUUGGCAUUUGGAAUUCCAUUGGUUGCACGUCUACUCGAAUCGUCAGAUGAUUCACAAGAAACUGAAUCUACAGAAGUUCGAGGUCCACGUGCAUUGAUUGUUGCUCCAACUCGUGAACUUGUCAUUCAAAUCAUGAAACAUAUUAAUGCUCUCAUUUCCACAACUCAACUAAUAGCCACAUCAAUUGUUGGUGGAUUGGCUCAAGUGAAGCAAGAGAGAAUUAUUUCCCAGCAGAGACCAGAUAUUGUCGUUGCAACACCUGGACGAUUGUGGGCCAUGAUGCAAGAAGCUGAAACUGGAGAGUUUUUAGCUGAAUGGAAAGAUUUGAAGUGUUUAGUUGUGGACGAAACUGAUCGGAUGGUUGAGGAAGGAUAUUUUGCCGAGUUGACACAUAUUCUCAAUAAGAUUCAUGAAGAAUCAGAAAAGGAAAAGCUUCAAACUCUCGUCUUCUCUGCGACACUUACAUUUGCAAAAGCACAAGAUGUAGCCGAAGAAGAAAAGAAAAAAGCGAAAGAGCUCAGUUCACAGCAAAAAAUUCAACGUCUUAUCAAACUGACGGGUCUUCGUGAGAAUAAGCAUAAAGUUAUUGAUUUAACACGUCAAAUGGGUACAGCUGGAUGCCUUGUUGAAGCACGUAUCAAUUGUGGAAAUCUUUUGGAAAAGGAUACUUCACUCGUAUACCUACUCACAAGAUACCCUGGACGUACAAUUGUCUUUGUGAAUUCAAUUGAUGCAGCUCGUAGACUAUACAGUGUACUUAAAUCAGUGAACAUUGAUCCAAUGAUUCUUCAUGCGAAAAUGAUUCAAAAACAACGUCUGAAGAACUUGGAAAAGUUUUCUGAAUCCAAAAACGCCGUUUUAUUGGCAACUGAUGUCGCAGCACGUGGAUUGGAUAUUCAAGGAAUCGAUCAUGUUAUCCAUUAUCAAGUUCCCAAAAAAGUAGAAAUUUAUAUUCAUCGAAGUGGAAGAACUGCACGUGCAUCACACAGAGGAUUGACUGUUGUAUUGGUUGAUCCACCAAGUAGACAAUUUUAUAUGAAGUUGUGCAAAGGAUUAAAUAGAAUGCAAGAUCUGAACGUUUUCCCAAUCGACUUUGAACCUUUGAUGAAUGCGAUCAAGAAACGUGUGCGACUAGCUUCAGAGAUUGACUCUCUUGGAUUCCGUUGCAAAAAGAUCAAAAUGUCAGAGUCUUGGUUUGAAAAAGCUGCCCGUGCCGCAGAUUUAGACUAUGAUGAGACGCGUCAUCGAGAAAUGGAUGGAUUGAAUCUUGAAGUUGACACAAUGGUCCAGAAAAGUCGCCAACUUCAAGCACAACUACGCACGGAGCUUUCCCUUCCACUUCCACGUGUUGAUGGAUCGGAUUCGAUGAAGACAAAGUACAUUACUCCUGAAAUUGUUGCCCGUUUGAGAUCAGUUGGUGAUAAUGCAAUUGACGUAUUAAACCAGAAAAUUGAUGAGACAAAGGAAUGGAAGAGAAAGAGCCGAAAAGCUACAAGAGAAGAUGAAAUGAACUCGAUGAAAAAAUCGUUGAAAUCGUCUCAAAAGAACAAGGAACGCCUCGCCGAGAAGAAAAAAAAGGAGAAAGCUGCCAAAGUGACUAAACUAUCGGAAACUGAUUGA
rnacentral:misc_RNA from 1 species